rnacentral:lncRNA from 10 species
UGCUGGAAUUACAGGUGUGAGCCACCACGCCCGGCCUGGUGAGAUUUUAAAUGGCAUUUGGUUCUCUGUUUUCCCCUCUGUCCUUCUACAAGGUAGUAACCAGAUCUCUGCUUUUAUUGUCCCAGCUGUGCCUGCAGAGUUGAAAACAAGCUAUUGAAUCCACAUUUUAGGUUGCAUUUGCUUAAAACAACAUUGUGCAUUUGCUUAAGACAACAUUGUGCAUGUUGUAAAACAUUUAUUUAUUUGAAUAGAUAAGAUAUCCACAUAGCGUGAGCCACCACGCCCGACCUCAUUUGGUCCAAUUUCUAUCAGGAAUCUUCUUUGUCAUCAUCUCCCCUAACUCCAACUUCAAUACAGUCUCAACAAGCAUUUACAGAAAUACACUCUGCAAAAAAACAUGUGCUAGGCUCAGAAAAAUGUCCAGAGGCUCAGAAAUGAGGAAGGCCCUUGCCCCUGCCCAAGGAGCCCGCCAUCUCGUGAUGGCAUUAUAGGUGUGUGGGGCUAUAAGUCUUCAAUGUUUUUGUGCAAAAGUCAGGGGCUGCCUUUCAGGAGGAAACAGUGAAGGGUGACGGCUUCGGUCCUGGAAUUCCUAUUCUUUUUUUCUUUUUUUUUUUUUUGAGGUGAAGUCUCACUCUAUUGCCGGGCAGGAGUGCAGUGGCGCAAUCUCGGCUCACUGCAACCUCUGCCUCCUGGGUUCAAGU